rnacentral:rRNA from 1 species
UACGGGGGGAGCAAGCGUUGUUCGGAUUUACUGGGCGUAAAGGGCGCGUAGGCGGCAACUCAAGUCAGCUGUGAAAUCUCCGGGCUUAACUCGGAACGGUCAGCUGAUACUGUUUUGCUAGAGUGCAGAAGGGGCAAUCGGAAUUCUUGGUGUAGCGGUGAAAUGCGUAGAUAUCAAGAGGAACACCUGAGGUGAAGACGGGUUGCUGGGCUGACACUGACGCUGAUGCGCGAAAGCCAGGGGAGCAAACGGG